GAUGAACGCUGGCGGCGUGCUUAACACAUGCAAGUCGAACGAAGCAAUUUUGAAACUUCGGUUUCAAAAUUGACUUAGUGGCGGACGGGUGAGUAACGCGUAGGUAACCUGCCUUAUACAGGGGGAUAACAGCUGGAAACGGCUGCUAAUACCGCAUAACACAGUGAGGUCGCAUGACUUUAUUGCCAAAGAUUUAUCGGUAUAAGAUGGACCUGCGUCUGAUUAGCUAGUUGGUGAGGUAAUGGCUCACCAAGGCGACGAUCAGUAGCCGACUUGGGAGAGGGAUCGGCAACAUUGGGACUGAGGCACGGCCCAAACUCCUACGGGAGGCAGCAGUGGGGAAUAUUGCACAAUGGGGGAAACCCUGAUGCAGCGACGCCGCGUGAGUGAUGAAGUAUUUCGGUAUGUAAAGCUCUAUCAGCAGGGACGAAAAAAGACGGUACCUGACUAAGAAGCCCCGGCUAACUACGUGCCAGCCGCCGCAGUAA
rnacentral:rRNA from 1 species